ACUGCAAGGGUGGCAGCCAGCGGGCCUUAGCAGCUCAUCCUUCCCAGGUGUAACUGCACAGAAUUCAUUCCCCGCAACUCACCUGAGGGCAAAGGACCGCAGAGACCUCAGUUGAAUGACUGUGAUGCUCCUUUACCGCAGGAGGGCUCUCCUCCAAGAUCCCAGAGUAAUUGGAAUGCUGAAUUCUUCAGUCAUGAUAAUUGGCAAGUGAAAAGAAGAAAAGUACAUCAAAGGAGUAAAGAAUACUUUAUGGAUAAAUGGCUUUCUUCAAACUGCCAAGGCUGAAUAUGAACCCUGGACCUGGGAUAAAAAAACUGAUGUUUUCAGCCUGGUAAGUUA